UACGUAGGUGGCAAGCGUUGUUCGGAAUUAUUGGGCGUAAAGGGCGCGUAGGCGGUUUGUUAAGUCAGCUGUGAAAGCCCGGGGCUCAACCCCGGAGGGUCAGCUGAUACUGGCAGGCUAGAGUACAGAAGAGGUAACUGGAAUUCCCGGUGUAGCGGUGAAAUGCGUAGAUAUCGAGAGGAACACCUGCGGCGAAGGCGGGUUGCUGGGCUGAUACUGACGCUGAGGCGCGAAAGCCAGGGGAGCGAACGGG
rnacentral:rRNA from 1 species